GGGAGAGCAACGCCAUGGACAGCUGGGGACAAAAGUUGCUGUUUCCGAGGAGAAGACAUUUGUUUGCUCCUUUUUUGAAUCUCAUAUCCAGUGUUUUUCUUCACAGGUUUUGCACAGUAGGGACCAGGAAGCCCUCGGGACACUGCCGAGAAAGGACUGCUCGAGGGAAGACCUGUGGGAAAUAUACAAAUGUUUUAGGGAUCAUGGGAUCUAUUCCAGAGGAAACUAACCAACAAUGAACAACUUCUACUAAAACUACCCCUGGAUGUGAUGGUAAGUGUAAGUAUUAAAAUUAAAUAUUGUACAUCGUCAGAAAGAGAAAAUUGCAAGGCCUGUCCAAACUGUACUUCAUAGAAACUUAGUAGUUACUUUGCAUUUUAGCGCAUGGUGAUUGAUAAGUUAGACUAGGUACUGAGUUAAAAGGAAAAUUUUUUGCGCUAAGAGAAGGAAAUUCAGAGCCUUAACUUCAACACCAUCAUUUCUUAAUUGGAAAAGGAUCAACAUAAAACAGUUUAUUUACAUUUUCAACUCCCACUGCUUUUUUAAGCCAUAGAUCUGAAAACCAAAGAAAAUUUAUUUACAGUGGGACAAAAUUUCACACUGAUCACUUUCUUGCAAUUAGUUAAUAGGUUUAAUGUCCUUCCUGCUUGGUAUUUGAGUUUUCGGCCAAGAUAAUGUGUUUAUAUUUUUUAAAAACCAAAAUAUACUAUCUACCCCCACCUCUCACCCUACAGACCACCCAAGUUUUUCACUUUGUGGGAAAGAGUUCAGGCACAAAACUCUUAAUGAAGGAAUUUUCUCCCCCAACCCCCCUUUUUUCCCCCCGGUUGAAGUCUUAAAGCUGUUAUAGGACAUAAAAAGAAAAUACAACUUGGUAAUGUAGAAAAGUUCACUCACCCACCAGAGUCCAUCCUUACUAAAGAGAAGCCAAAGCUUUUGAUUACUCUACAAGAGAUCUGCUCUUUAAAAACAACCCAUUUUCCUCUUCUCUGAGGAGACUAUCCCACCCAUCUCAAUAAUGUCUAAAUAAUAGCUAAGAGACCAUCACUCAUAACUCCCAGCUUAAAAUAACUAGAAGUCAGGCUUUAACCUAAGAAAAGACAGGAAAUUCCUGAGUUAAGAUUGAAACUUUCUUACUUGGUUUCUUCUACCUUUUUAACCUCGGUGUGCUACAAAUUAUUUAGGUAGAAAUAUUUAUCAAUUUUUUGAAGAUCUCUUAUUAAGAAUUUUUAUCAGUUUUAAUAAAUAGAGAUAAAGAAGUAAAUUAAGGAAAAUAAUUAAAUCUUAAUUUUGAAUUUCCUGACUUACUGUGACAGCCAGUUUUCUGGAGUUUCUUUGGUUUAAUUUUGCUGUAGAAGACUUAGAAUAUGAUUCUAUUUUUGCAUUUCUUUCUUAAGAUAAUAAACAAAAGACAAAAAGGAGGUGUAAUAACCAUAUUAAAAAUUACAUGGUAUGAUAAUAAUAUAAAUAGCUUUUUUAUAUUUUACCUAGUAUAUUAAGUGAUAAUGAAUUAAUAUUUACUGUACAGUUUAGAAGAUAGAAAAAAAUCUUAAAUGUUUUUUCAGUCUUCCAUCAAGUUCAACAUAACCAAAAAGUGUGCAUAUGCCACAUACUUACUAAAAUUGUGUUUUUAAAAUCUACUAGAAACAUAAAUUGUCCAAAAGUCUUAUGAGUAGAAUAAAAUCACUUCUCAGCAAGAUUUUUUUCCCCCUGAAAAACAGUUAUGGUUUUUCAGGCUCAAAUACAUUGGGUAUCUUGGUUUAAUAGAACUGCUUCAUAUUAAAGGAUAACAUGAACUCACAAAUAUUUCUUUCUAUUUUUUCAGGUUGCAUGCAUCAUUCCUUUAAUUGAGCAGAGUUAACUGGAUCAAAUUAUUUAUGGGAGAGAGAGGGAAAGCUAUACAGAAUUACAGUAAUUUUAUAUUUCCACCAAUAUCCUCUUUGUAAGUGAAUCACUCCAUAAAUAUUUUCUGUUGCACUGAAUGCAGCAACAAUAACAAAAUAGUUUCUUAAGGUAUUUGUUUUUGCAUACUCUGGCCUUGUAAUUAUUUAAAUAGCAGCCAAGUUUAGUGAUGUUUUUGAUUCUGUCAAGAAAAAAAAAUAAGUCCUCUACUCAGAAGUGAUGACCAGAAACAGAAUCUGACAUUUAUUUUUUUUUUUUUUUGAAAUUAACUAAAUAAAUGGAAAGUUGCACUUAUCAACUCUUUGUUAAAACUGUACCAUAUCUAAUCACUGCAUAAAAGUUCAGAUGUGUAGAAUACUGUCAUUUUUUUCAGUCUCUAAAAACUAUUUUGCUCUCCAUAAACUUUCUAUUUGCUAUUUUCUCAGAAUUUUACAAUUAAAGGGAAAUAACAAACUACUUGUUUUCCUUAAAAUUCUUUGAAAAAAUCCCUAAGUACACAUUCCUUGGACAAUAAGGUUUUGUUUUGUUUUUUAAAAUUCUAUUUAUUGGAAUUUUGACUAUCUGAAUAUUUUAUUUUUUAAAGAGCAGGGGAAUUUGUUAAAUACCUCUACGGAAGUGAACUGAUCAUUUAUAUUAAAAUAACCAAUAGAAUUAUUCUCAAGUCACCAGAAUUAAAUUUUCUAACUGUAUAUUUAACACCAUUAAUUCUUUCUUAUAUGAAUUUUAAGGAAAUUUUCCAAAGUGUCUGGUUUUACUUUUUACAUACGAAAUGAAGUUUCCUUUUCUGUGUAUAAGGUAUUAUUUUGUAACUGCACUGCACUAACAAUGUCCAAUACACGUUGUGAGCAUCACUGUGGGUAACAACUUUUUAGUUUAUACCCUUUUGAUUCAUGGCACAGCCCUGUAGUUAAUUAAGAGGAGGAAAACUUAAGCUCACAACUGCUUUUUAUUUGGUUUUUCACAUCCAUACUUUAAAACUUUGCAUUAAAAAAAAUAUGAGAAAUUUAAAUAAGUUCCUGUUGCUUAAUAAAAUAUUAAUGAAAAUACACCCCCUUGUCAAAAUCCCACUAACAAAGCAUCAGAUACCAAAGUCCGUGUGUUGCAUUGUCGAAUACAUUAGGCUCAUUAAUUAUUUUGAAAAUGGCUGCCAUUUCCAUGUAAAUGACAAGUUUCUUUUUCAUGGGCAAGAUUAUGGUACUUACCUAUUACAAGAAACAUGUAUAAAUAGUCUUUAUCUUUAACUUCAGUUUUAAAAUAUGCAGAGUUUUGUGAAGAGGAAAAACAUCUGGUUCAAUUACUCUGAACUCUGACUGCAUGUGGGCCAGUAGUAAUAUGAACUGGAUUUAAGAAUAAACCUUGUGUUUAGUCUUUUUUGUUGUUGUUUUAUCCUUAAAAUUUCAAUGUGAGUUUUCUGCUCUGUCAAUUACCCAUGUUAGCACAUUUGGAAUGAAUGUAUAAGUGCACUUUCUGAAUAAAGUCAAAAGUCUAA